GACGAACGCUGGCGGCGUGCUUAACACAUGCAAGUCGAACGGAACGUUCCUGUUUUUGUGGGGUGCUCGAGUUGCGACCGGGUGACUAACCCUUGAGUACCCUGCCCCUGCCUUUGAGAUAACUUCAGGCAACUGGGUCUCAUACCGGAUAAGAGCUCCCGCUGCAUGGUGGGGGUUGGAUAGUUUCGGCGGUUGGGGAUGGACUCGCGGCGUAUCAGCUUGUUGGUGGGGUAGUGGCUUACCAAGGCUUGGACCGGUAGCCGGGCUGCGCGGGGGACCGGCCACGUUGGAACUGGAAUGCGACCCAGACUCGUACGGGAGGGAGCGGUGCAGAAGGGUGCACAAGGGGCGGAAGCCUGAUGUAGCAAAGCCGCGUGCGGGAUGAGAGCCAGCGGGUUGUAAUCCACUUUCGCCUGUGACGAAGCGAUAAUGACGGUAAUGGGUAAAGAAGCACCGGCUAACUACGUG
rnacentral:rRNA from 1 species